rnacentral:lncRNA from 1 species
CCAUUGUGGCUCAGUGGUUAUGAACCUGACUAGUAUCCAUGAGGAUGCGGGUUUGAUCCCUGGCCUCGCUCAGUGGCUUAAGGAUCUGGCGUUGCCAUGAGCUGUGUGUAGGCUGGGGAUGCGGCUGGGAUCCCAUGUUUGCUGUGGCUAUGGCUGGCAGCUGAUUUGAUCCCAAGCCUGGGAAUUUCCAUAUGCUGCAGGUGCGACUCCCCCUCCCCCCCAAAAAAAAGACAAAACAGGCUCAUCUAGCUGAUCGGUUAAACUGCAGAGAGGCCAGGAGAGCAUUGAGUGAGGGGCAUUUGACUCUGCAUCACCUCCCUGGAUGCUUUGGCCCAGCCGAUUUGUCCAUCGAACCCUCCUCCCUGGGAACGAGAACAAAGGGCCCAGCCGUGAAAGAGGCCCUGGUCCCUCCCCGAGCUGGGGAAAGCCGAGGGCGAGCUCGGCAGCCCGUGCCAGGGGCUCGAGGGGGCAGGCUCUUUCCUUUUCCCUGUGCUUUCUCUGGGGCCAGGGCCCUCUGGUUAGAGGGUCGAGGUGACCAGAACAAAACAGGAAGAUAAACAGACUGAAACCCCCGGCUGCCUCUGAAGCACACCCAUCCUCCCCUCCACACCCAGGGCCGGGCGGAAUCUCCUUGGGCACAGCGAAGUUGUAAGACUGCGCUCGUUUCCCGGUUGUCAGGCAAAGGGCUUGGUGAGGUCCCAGGACGCCACCCGGCCUGGGUCGUCCCGCCACUCUGGGCGAUGGGCGUGGACCUGGUUUGCCCUCACUGGGGGUCCUGAGUGAGUCCCUCAGUGUCUGAGUAUCCGGCCUCAGGCCUUACCGCACAAGGGACGCACAGCCACUCGCCAGGGAGGUGGGCACUGAGGGGCACCUGCAGGGCUGGGCCGGUCACAGAGCAGCCCCAACCAGGGUGCCCUGCCCCUCCCUCUCCUCCCCCUGCCAAAGCCUGCCGUGUGGAGGCGGGAGGAUUUGAAUGCUGUCCCCUCAGAAAUGCCACUGGUCCCCAGGCUCAGGUGUGGGAGGACCAGCGUGGAGGGCCUCAGUUUCCCGGCCUCCCCCUCUUCUGCCCCUCUUCUAAUCUGAGGGCUCCCGGGGGCCUGGGUCCCGGUCCUCAAGACCACGAGAUGCACAUUUGAGGUCACUUGGUGGCUCUCCGGAGUGCAAAGUGACAGGAGAGGGCCUUUCGGGGCUGGCAGGCUGGGAGGGUGGAGUGGUGUGUAUGGGGGUGGGGAGGUGGCCCCCACGGUUCCUCCAUCCCCCCUCUGCUCUCACCUGUGAAAUAAACUACAGUGGCUCUUUCCCUCCCCCCCCCCACAGUCUCAGGCGACGGGUCUGUGCCCAGCUCGGGAGGGUUGGCUUCAAACCCCGGCUUUUCACCUCCUGGGCUUACGGGAUGGAGCCUCCGGCACAAGGCAGAGCAGGAACCAAGUGGGAAAACGGAGCUGGUGCUGUGUGUGCUGCAUCUUCCUUGCAUGCUAGGGUCUUCUCACUUGGCACCUGUGCCUGAAGCAUGCUCUCAGGGGGCACCUGCUGGGUGCCAGGUGCAGUGCCGCGGGUUGGGAACACGGCGAGCUGGAGGAGACAGAGCUGGAGACAGUCGGUUCUAAGGCCCCAAGUGAUGGGGCCCCGGAGAAGAAGGCUGCUGCUCAGAGAAGGGGUGGCUGAUGAGAGUGCAGGGAACAGCACGCGAGGCUCAGAGAGGUGCUGCAGAACCGGAAGACGCCGCAGGGCCAGCACAGCCUGGAGAGGGAGACGCUUCUUGUGCCAGGAGUGCGUUGAGUGGGAUGGGCCCGGAUGAGCUGUCCUGCGUGCUGGGCUCAGGCCUUUGGACUUGAACAUGGAAGCCCAGUACCUGGAAUGGCCCUGAACGUCUUGUUCCUUCCAGCUCGGCCUUGAAGGGACCUUGUUCUUUGCCCUGACGUGGACAUCCUUAGGCCCGAGAACCUGGGAAGGGCCAUGCUGUGACGAGGGUGGGGCCCAGUUCAUUGCCAACGAGGAAAUGGCCUCUCUCCCCCAACCUUUGGUGUCAGUGGACUCAAAGAGGGCCAGCCCUUGAGGUUCGUCUGGGCCAGAAGCAUCUAGACUCAAAAUAAUGGAGAGAACUGUCUGGUCUUUGAAAGGCUGGCCUCGGUCUUCUGCAGCAAAAGGAACCCCUGGGCUACUGAUCAGAGCAGCACAUUGGGAGUUCCAACCUGGGUUCUGCCACUUGCCAGCUCUGUGACCUUGGGCAAGUGGCUUAACGUCUCUGAGCUUUUCUUUCUUUGUCAUUGGCACAGUGGGGUGAAUAGUGGUACCAGUCCUCUGGGCUUCGGAGAGGAUUUGGUGAGAACAGUACAGGUCCAGUGUUUGUGCCAUGCCUGACAGGGACGGUGCCUGAGAAAAAGAGAGCCCGAUCUUGCUGGUACUGUGAUGACAUCUGCUGUUCCCAUGGCUACAGAGGAGGGGGCCUGACGCCUGAGCCCGGGAGGGGCAGGGCCGGAGACGGCCUCCCAGGAGCUUUGGAGCCAGCUCUGCUGGUCAGGCUCUGGCUGCGUGGGACGCUGGGCCGGUUACUGAGAUAAAAUUGAGCGUGUUAUUUACCUUCUAACCCCCUUCGUCGUCUCAUCUGGAAAAUGGGAUGUUGGCGCUCUCCUCCCAGGCUGCUGUGGGCGUGUAAGAGCCGCCAGGUGGAGGAGGUUCCAGGCUGAAUCAAGUUUCCUGAAAGUCUUGGGGGGGUGGGGGUGAGGAGGGCUUUCUUUGGCCCCUUCUGCCUCGUGGAGCAGCCGACACUGGGGGGCAGGGAACCGGAGGAACUUGCACCUUGACCCCUCCAGUGGCUCCAGCCCCAUGGGGGGGGGCCCUGGCUCGCCUGACGUUUCACCCAGAGCUGUGUGUUAUCUUUUGCAGAAGUCAUGAUCGGAGGAAGGACAAACCACUUCCUCUACAGCCUUCAGAUUUAUCAGGCACGACUUUUGACAGUUUCAGUUUGAAGAGAAUUAAACAAAAACAGCAACAAAGAUGUUGAGACGCUUCGAUGAAUAAAGCGGCCUCCAGCUUCUGCUCCCUGCUCUCCACGGUUGGACAAGGCCCCGUCAGGGCCCCUGGGAUGCCACACGGUGAAGGGCAGGUUCGGGUUCGAGAGGCAGCCUGAGUUUGGAGCUUUCUUUGCACAUGCAGGCUGCUGGCCGAGGGGCCAGGUUUCUAGCCCUCUGCCUGGUGUUUCUGUCCUCUGCGCUAUGGCAUCUGCACAGGUCGCAGAGAUGGCAUUUCAGAAGUUUCACCUCACAGCAGCUUGCUUUCCCCCUUGCUGUGUCUGGAGAAAGUGCUUAAGCUAAGCCAGGCCGGAUCGGCAGUGACGGGUGGCCCCCCGGGACCCCGGUCCAGGUUCCUCCCCUCGGGCCCUGCCUGCCUGUGAGACACCACCCAAAGGUGGUUCUUGGGUUAGACUUGGGGGAACCAUUUGGGGGAACUGCAAGUCUGUGAGUCGAAAAUGACUAAAUAUCAGUUUCACAAAGUUGAAACUACUAGUUUGUGAAUAAACCCGACUCCUAACUUGCUGGUGGUGUUUCUUGUCUGUGGCCCUGAGACUCGUAAGAUCAGUACAAAGCUAGCCCAUCUUGAGGAGGCGAGGGGAACGCACACACACAUACACACACACACACAGGCAUAUACAGGCACAGAUGCACAGAAGACACACCUGCGGCGGUGCACACAGAUGCACGCAUGCAGACACGCACACACACACACAGUGCCAUGAACACACACACACACACACACACGCACACACAUCUUCAGAGGCUCUCUGGCGUUUUGCUCCUUGUGUUCAAAUGUCCAGGGUGUGUGUGUGUUGGCGUGAGUUGUGUAACCUCUGCAGUGUCCUCACCUCCCAGAUGAGAGAGUAGUGAUGUGCUGACCUGGGACGAUGGUCAGGAUGCAGUGAAGGAGCCUAAGUGGGCCCAGGACAGGGCCUGGGACCCAGCGGGCUCUGUUCAGACGAGCUGUCCUGUGUUGGGGCCGACACUCGCCUUGCCUCCGGUGGAGGGUUUGGCCCAUCCGGCCUGUGGUUCUCCUAGUGACGCGUCGGUAGUGACUCUGCCGCCCAUUCAGUGCUGCUGGCUGGCAGCUCUGUGCCACGCACUGUUCUAGGCCAUUCCGACACGGCCUCUGCUCUCAGUAAGCUUAGAGUUCAUGGGGGCCGGGGGCCGGGGGCCGACAGCCUACAGUCAGCACUUGCCAAGGUCCCCACGGAGGUGGCAAGUGCAAGGACAGACAUGGGACGGGGGAGAGAGAGGCAGGGUUGGGUGCAGCCAGUGCAAAGGCCCUGAGGUGGAACACUGCGGGGCAGGCGGGGGCCGUCCCAGCUGCCAUGGCCUCCACAGGGAGCUUGGAUUUUAUGCCCAGGGCCUGGGGGAGCAGGGAUGUGACGCGGUCUCAUGUCCUCUUCCUGGAGUUGGCAAGAGAAGGGUCAGGGCAGACCACAUGUCCUGUUCUGCCCUUGUCCCUUUAGGCCUGCCUCAGGCUUGGCCGCACAGCGGCUGCCCACUGGCUGCCCAGGGCCUGCCAAAUCGCUGGUCCUGAGGGCGUGAGGACAGCCAUUACCCCCGAGUCCGAUGGACCAGGCUUGUACCUCAUCUCCGCCGCCUGCCUCAGUGUCCUGAUCUGUGCAGUGGGCACAAGUGUGGGAGCCCUAGCCCCCCGCCGCUCAGCCUCGGGCCCUGUGCCCACACCCCUCUCUGAGGUCAGCCCUGCUCCUGGUCCCGGGGGAGGUUGUCGCGUCGCAUUCCUCCUGCGUGAGUGACACAGAGGGCAGGGGUAUGUCUGCGACGCUGCUCUGUAAUUUUCAUGUCUGGGACGGGCCCAGGGCUGAGCUGCUCCCCUCUGACGGCAAGUCAGCAGCAGUGCGUUUCCCAGUUUGCCUUUGUUGGUUUUCUUUUUUCUUUCUUCUUCCUCUUCUUUUUUUAAUAGAUCCUUUUUAUUUUUUUCCCCUUCCUGUGAAGUAAAACUGGCGACUUGGAUGUGGUGGGUAGGAAUUAGUAGUUUCUGUCCUUUUGGUGUGGGUGUCGGUUGGGAGUUGAUUUAAACAUUUAUUUCCCAUUAAGAGGUUCAUGGGCUGGAAGCUGGCACUCGAAGUGGGGUGAUCUCCAGUCCCGGCUGGUGGUUUGUGUUGCCUGCAGGACCCGCCUGACUCGAAGGCAAGCAGGGAGCCCGCUGAGCGGAGGUUACCAUUGCAGACCCGUGGGCCAAGUCCAGUCUGUCGAUCUGUUUUGUUUGGCCCACGCAGUGUUUUUUGGGGAAACAACAACAACAACAACAAAAAACAAAAAGGAACACUUCAGUAAGUUGUCUACAUUUAAAAAUUGGGCGAGGAAUUCCUGUUGUGGCACAGCGGAAACGAAUCCGACUAGGAACCUUGAGGUUCCGGGUUCGAUCCUUGGCCUUGCUCAGUGGGUUAAGGAUCGGAUCUGGCGUUGCCGUGAGCUGUGGUGUAGAUCGCAGACAUGGCUUGGAUCUGGCGUUGCUGUGGCUGUGACAUUGGCCGGUAGCUACAGCUCCUAUUAGACCCUUAGCCUGGGAACCUCCAUAUGCCGUGGAUGCGGCCCU